GACGUCAAGUCAUCAUGGCCCUUACGACCAGGGCUACACACGUGCUACAAUGGCGCAUACAAAGAGAAGCGACCUCGCGAGAGCAAGCGGACCUCAUAAAGUGCGUCGUAGUCCGGAUUGGAGUCUGCAACUCGACUCCAUGAAGUCGGAAUCGCUAGUAAUCGUGGAUCAGAAUGCCACGGUGAAUACGUUCCCGGGCCUUGUACACACCGCCCGUCACACCAUGGGAGUGGGUUGCAAAAGAAGUAGGUAGCUUAACCUUCGGGAGGGCGCUUACCACUUUGUGAUUCAUGACUGGGGUGAAGUCGUAACAAGGUAACCGUAGGGGAACCUGCGGUUGGAUCACCUCCUUACCUUAAAGAA
rnacentral:rRNA from 1 species